rnacentral:tRNA from 1 species
GCGAGGGUGGUGGAAUUGGCAGACACGUAAGACUUAAAAUUUUAUGAGAGAAAUCUCGUGGGGGUUCAAAUCCCCCUCCUCGCACCA